rnacentral:rRNA from 1 species
CAGCAGCCGCGGUAAUACGGAGGAUCCGAGCGUUAUCCGGAUUUAUUGGGUUUAAAGGGUGCGUAGGCGGUUCAUUAAGUCAGGGGUGAAAGACGGUAGCUUAACUAUCGCAGUGCCUUUGAUACUGAUGAGCUUGAAUACACUUGAGGUAGGCGGAAUGUGACAAGUAGCGGUGAAAUGCAUAGAUAUGUCACAGAACACCAAUUGCGAAGGCAGCUUACUAAAGUGAGAUUGACGCUGAGGCACGAAAGCGUGGGGAUCAAACAGGAUUAGAUACCCGGGUAGUCCCUGUCUCUUAUAA